UUAUGAAAUACAUAAUUUUAUUAAAAGUUAUGUAUAUAUAAUUUAAAUGAACACUAUAUGGUAGUUCUUGUGCACAGAUCUCAGCUAUUAUGUAGUGUUGUAGGUUUGAAAACAGUCUCUCUGCUAUAAACUAUUCUUGUUAUCUUUUUCCAAUUAUUUCCCCUGAACCAACAGUUGACGUUCCAACCUCGAGACCAAAGAAUCUAU
rnacentral:lncRNA from 1 species